CAGAGUGGGCAUAUGACUGUGCACAGCAGCUAUAUGCUUAGUGUGCCACUGACUUGCUGUGUGACUGUGGAACAGUCACUUAAGCACAAUUUGCAGGUUGUUUUUUUUUUUAAUCACGGUUUGGAUGUCCAUAUGAUGAAUUGGGUUUUUCUUUUAAUUCUCGUUACUAGCUUUCCACAUGAGAAAAUUCUGGGUUUCUGGCUUUUUUGGGUGUUCAGGAUUUUAUGAAGGUGACCUGUUAGACAGCUGGGUAGAUUCUUUCAGUUCAUACCUAAACAAGGCAGCCUGGGUGACAAAUUUUUCAGAAAUGUAUGAUUUUUCAAAAAUGUUAUUUGACUAUAGAUAGUGAAGCAAACAAGCAAAAACCCCAAGAACUUCAAAUGAUUCAACCAAAUACUUUCCUUUCUCACCAGUUCUGUUGCCACUUUUGGACUGGUUUUGUACCACCGUUCCCGUGUUUUGCAGGAAUCAGAGUUUUCUCCAGAAAGUCUCUGGAGUCCUUUGGUGAACAGUCCUGAAUUUGAGAAGUAAAACUCAAGCAAAUGAAUCCUUGGCUGGCUUUAGGACAAGGUGAAAAGGGUGCGCUGUGUUGGGACGAGAUGCACUGUAGUGAAAGGGGCUUCAGAGCGUAACUAUAAAAGUCUGACUACUGCGUAACGCUUAUCUAACUAUUGUACAAGGUGACUGAAGCGAGGAGUCUUGUAGUCUCUCAGCGAAGGACACUUCCUGAUAAGAACAGAAACUUGUCUCAAGAACCAGCUGAAACCGACCCUGCGUUUUGGACAAGAGCCAAGGAGCAAGUGAGUCUGCGCAAGAACAAGGGGUUACUAGCGGUGAUGAAGAGGAGUCAUCAGCCUUCAUCCCCACGACCCCCGCGACCACCACCGGGAGGCACUGCGCAAGCGCAGUUGGGAGGAGUUUAUGGAAACGACUUCUUGGGGCUAAUUUUAAUACAAAGCGGGGACAGGUCAUGCAUAUGUAUAGGCGUAUUGGGAGACCUUAUGUAUAUGUAACGCUUUGCUGUUUAAAUCCAAGACCGGCUGGCACGCGGGCGCGCACGAUUUGGCGGGAUGACCCCCCGUGCUGCCCAGCGCUGAAUAAACAUACCUACUUUACAACCUUACAGGUUGCGGAGUCCGUUCCCGCACGCCGCUUUGGCCAGCCGGGCAGGAGACUCUGCUCGGCUGCGGGACCGGCUGCGGAGCGGACGCCCCCAGGCGCGCCCUGAGCAUCUUCCUCGGAGGAGCCUCCGCUGCCGGCCGCUCACCGCGGGAGCAGGCAACAACCUCCUGAAGCCGCGGAUUAAACGGUAUGUUUUACAAGAAGGGCCAGUAAAUCGUCGGGGUCGCCCACGCUUGGCCGGGGCCGCCGGUAAACCGCACACGUCUCGUCUGGCGCACAGCACAGUCCCUGUAUGGGUGGAGAGUACCCUGCAUGGUAACAAAGAGAUUUGCUGACCGAUGGAGCGGCCGCAGCGAUCUUGGGGGUAGAUAGAGCAAAUCUGAGGUCACCGCUGCAUCCCAGUGUCGGGAGCCAGGACGGACCUGUUAAUGACUAUAAGAAGCAGGAGAAGGGUCUCUUGCAGAAAGAACCCUGGAGCCACAGUGGGAAGGACCUUUCCAGGUACUCCUUACCUCCUUCACUGCAAUCAAGAUCAAGGAACAGACGCCCUGGAUCCACUACUCUCGAGUAAAGAAAGCACCAGGAAAAGUCUGGACUUCUGAAGCCCAGGGACCUUUGAAACUUAAACUGCGGAGCCAGAAUGGGGACUAAGGCCUUUUUGCUUUUAAGUCCUAUGUAUUUAAUCAGUGUAGCUACUUGGCAAGAAAAUGUUUAUAUACAAUUGAUGCAAAA